UACGUAGGGGGCUAGCGUUGUCCGGAAUCAUUGGGCGUAAAGAGCGUGUAGGCGGCCCGGUAAGUCCGCUGUAAAAGUCAAAGGCUCAACCUUUGAAUGUCAGUGGAUACUGCCGGGCUAGAGUCCGGAAGAGGCGAGUGGAACUCCUGGUGUAGCGGUGGAAUGCGCAGAUAUCAGGAAGAACACCAACGGCGAAGGCAGCUCGCUGGGACGGUACUGACGCUGAGACGCGAAAGCGUGGAGAGCGAACAGG
rnacentral:rRNA from 1 species